CAGGGUAAAGUGUCAAAGCAGGGUCAGGUGACGUAAAUGCCAGGAAACAGGUAAAGUCUGGGGACCCUUGUGUUUAGUUCCAGUUAUGUUACGAAAGCUGAGCACAUGACGUUCAGCCCGAGGACCAGACAUAAAGAGGGAACGUGAAGUAAAGCUGUGGCACCAGCUAUAAAGCCGGGAACCUGAGGGGAAGCCAGCUGCCAUGACAUGAGGCAGGUGAAGAGGGUCUCAAGGCAAAAAACUGAGUUCUGCCAAGAGCCAAUUCUAUAGGUUAGAAACCCAACAUGGAUCUCACUCACCAGGCUAAAAAUCAGGAUGUCAUUGGGGGGGCUUCCCUGAUGGCGCAGUGGUUAAGAAUCCGCCUGCCAAUGC